rnacentral:rRNA from 1 species
GACGAACGCUGGCGGCGUGCCUAAUACAUGCAAGUAGAACGCACAGUUUAUACCGUAGCUUGCUACACCAUAGACUGUGAGUUGCGAACGGGUGAGUAACGCGUAGGUAACCUGCCUGGUAGCGGGGGAUAACUAUUGGAAACGAUAGCUAAUACCGCAUAAUAUUAAUUAUUGCAUGAUAAUUAAUUGAAAGGUGCAAUUGCACCACUACCAGAUGGACCUGCGUUGUAUUAGCUAGUAGGUGAGGUAACGGCUCACCUAGGCGACGAUACAUAGCCGACCUGAGAGGGUGAUCGGCCACACUGGGACUGAGACACGGCCCAGACUCCUACGGGAGGCAGCAGUAGGGAAUCUUCGGCAAUGGACGAAAGUCUGACCGAGCAACGCCGCGGGAGGGAAGAAGGGUUUCGGAUCGUAAAGCUCUGUUGUAAGAGAAGAACGGGUGUGAGAGUGGAAAGUUCACACUGUGACGGUAUCUUACCAGAAAGGGACGGCUAGCUACGUG